GUUCGAGAUGUUGCUGAAUCUUGCAGAACCGGGGCUUCUACUAAUGUUAUCUUUGGGCUUGCUUUGGGAUACCAAUCUGUCAUAAUUCCCAUUUUUGCUAUUGCCAUCGGCAUCUUUGUUAGCUUUAGUCUUGCUGCAAUGUAUGGUGUUGCAGUUGCAGCCCUAGGCAUGUUGAGUACUAUUGCUACUGGUCUGGCCAUUGAUGCCUAUGGCCCCAUCAGUGACAAUGCCGGAGGCAUUGCAGAGAUGGCAGGGAUGAGCCACCGGAUACGUGAGAGAACUGAUGCUCUGGAUGCUGCAGGCAACACCACUGCUGCCAUCGGAAAGGGUUUUGC
rnacentral:misc_RNA from 1 species